GCUGCAUGGCUGUCGUCAGCUCGUGUCGUGAGAUGUUGGGUUAAGUCCCGCAACGAGCGCAACCCUUGCCUUUAGUUGCCAGCAGUUCGGCUGGGCACUCUAAAGGGACUGCCGGUGUUAAACCGGAGGAAGGUGGGGAUGACGUCAAGUCCUCAUGGCCUUUAUGACCAGGGCUACACACGUACUACAAUGGCCGAUACAAAGGGCAGCGACACUGCGAGGUGAAGCCAAUCCCGUAAAAUCGGUCUCAGUCCGGAUUGGAGUCUGCAACUCGACUCCAUGAAGUUGGAAUCGCUAGUAAUCGUGGAUCAGCAUGCCACGGUGAAUACGUUCCCGGGCCUU
rnacentral:rRNA from 1 species